AAUUGACGGGGCCCGCACAAGCGGCGGAGCAUGCGGAUUAAUUCGAUGCAACGCGAAGAACCUUACCAAGGCUUGACAUACACCGGUAACGCCCAGAGAUGGGUGCCCCUUUGUGGUCGGUGGACAGGUGGUGCAUGGUUGUCGUCAGCUCGUGUCGUGAGAUGUUGGGUUAAGUCCCGCAACGAGCGCAACCCUCGUCCUAUGUUGCCAGCGGGUCAUGCCGGGGACUCAUGGGAGACUGCCGGGGUCAACUCGGAGGGAGGUGGGGAUGACGUCAAAUCAUCAUGCCCCUUAUGUCUUGGGCUUCACGCAUGCUACAAUGGCCGGUACAAAGGGCUGCGAUACCGCGAGGUGGAGCGAAUCCCAGAAAGCCGGUCUCAGUUCGGAUUGGGGUCUGCAACUCGACCCCAUGAAGUCGGAGUCGCUAGUAAUCGCAGAUCAGCAACGCUGCGGUGAAUACGUUCCCGGGCCUU
rnacentral:rRNA from 1 species